rfam:[Clostridium] celerecrescens strain 152B c20, whole genome shotgun sequence.
UAAUUCCUGAAAUGUGCGACACUCUUACCUUUUUUGAACCUACAUUAUGACUCAUGGGAUUCCAAUAUUUUCGAGUGGAUGUCAAGCCUCCGUUUGCAGUGGAAGGCAGAAACUUGAGUGAGGUCGCCCACCUAGCAAGGCUAGGCGUCAAUAAGUAAGAAACGGCAUUUUGGGGUUACC